UCAUCCGGUCGAUCCUGCCGGAAUCCGACGCUCUCCCCAAGGACACAAGCCAUGCAUGCCCGCACACCCGGGARGCGGCGGACGGCUCAGGACAACGGUUGCACCCCCCGCGGCGGUCCCUGCUAGCCGGACACCGCUGGCAACCCGGCGCCAAGACGUGCGCGCAAGUGCGGRCGCCCGCGGGCGAGCAGCGUGACGCAGCGACGGCCCGCCCGGGCUUCCGGGGCAUCACCCGGUCGGCGCGGUCGCGGCGCGCCGAGGGCCCGACGCCUGGCGGAGAAUCAGGGUUCGACUA
rnacentral:rRNA from 1 species